GGGGGGGGGGGGGGGGGGGGGGGGGGGGGGGGGGGGGGGGGGGGGGGGGGGGGUGGUGGGGGGUGCUGGCGUGGCGCACGGGUGAGGGACCCGUGAGUGCCCGGCCCUGGGCUUUGGGAUAGCUUCGGGACACUGUCUCUCAUCCCGGAUCGGAGCUCCUUCUGCAUGGUGGGGGUUGGAAAGUUUCGGCGGUUGUGCGUGGACUCGCUGCUGACCAGCUUGUUGGUGGGGUAGUGGCUUACCAAGGCUUUGACGGGUCGCCCGCCUGAGAGGGUUACCGGCCACAUUGGGACUGAGAUACGGCCCAGACUCCUACGGGAGGCAGCAGUGGGGAAUAUUGCACAAUGGGCGGAAGCCUGAUGCAGCAACGCCGCGUGCGGGAUGACGGCCUUCGGGUUGUAAACCGCUUUCGCCUGUGACGAAGCGUGAGUGACGGUAAUGGGUAAAGAAGCACCGGCUAACUACGUG
rnacentral:rRNA from 1 species